GUGAAUUUAGUUUAAAAAAAACACCUAACUUGCAAUUAGAAAACUUAGGUUUAAACCCUAAACUACA
rnacentral:tRNA from 1 species